rnacentral:rRNA from 1 species
GCAUAUCAAUAAGCGGAGGAAAAGAAAAUAACAAUGAUUCCCCUAGUAACUGCGAGUGAAGAGGGACAAGCUCAAAUUUUAAAUCUAUCGGGUUCUACCUGACCGAGUUGUAAUUUGAAGAGGCGUUUUCUGUGUUUCUGAUCAGUCCAAGUCCUUUGGGAUAAGGCAUCACGGAGGGUGAGAAUCCCGUUCGGUUGAUCAGAUUCGCUUUAUGAUACGUCAUCAAAGAGUCAAGUUGUUUGGGAUUGCAGCUUAAAAUGGGAGGUAAAUUUCUCCUAAGGCUAAAUAACGGCGAGAGACCGAUAGCGAACAAGUACCGUGAGGGAAAGAUGAAAAGAACUUUGAAAAGAGAGUUAAAUAGUACGUGAAAUUGUUGAAAGGGAAACGAUUGAAGCCAGUCGUACCUGCGGGUAAUCAGCCUUUUGGGCAUGAUUCUGUGGAGCGUGAGGAGUUAAACGCCUUCAUGCCUGCAUAUUCGUGUACUUUGGGUGUACUUGCCUGUGUGGUUAGUUAACAUCAAUUUUGGUUAUCAUAAAAUGGCUGGAGGAAUGUAGCUUCGAUUUCGAUUGAAGUGUUAUAGCCUUCGGUAGAUGUGAUGAUCGGGAUUGAGGAUUGCAACGGAUACCCUUCGGGGCUACCUGUCUGAUCUCUGAUCGUUGCUCUGGUGCCGAAAGCGUGCUUACGGUUAUCAAAGUCGAUGGUUAAUAGGUUAGAACGGGUUAAAUUCGUUAAGGAUGUUGACGUA